rnacentral:lncRNA from 1 species
AUGCUGGUCUGCCAGGGAAGCGCGUUAGGGUUUCCUUUGGGGGCUGGUCGUGCAGGACGCCUCCCCUGGCACACACCACCAUUCCAGACUCGCAGAAAGAAAAGGAGGGUGUUGAGCAUCAACCACCUUCUGUGCAGUUUGGGCAGAGCGAGGCCCUCGGUUCCGGGAGUGGAGGCAGCCCUCCUGAAGCCCGGGCUCCCCGGGGCUGUGAACAGGCCGUUGGGGGGGGGGGUGGUCUCGGGCCUGCGAGGCUGGCUCUUCCCUGCACUCCCUGGUGCCCUGGAACCAGCUGUUUCCUGGAGGCCUGGGUUGUCCGGGGGACUGGCCUCCCUGCCCAGGUCUGGGAUGCAGGCCGGGACAUCUUGCCUGCUGUCCGGACCCCUGGGGGUGCCUCACAGUGAGGGGCGGCCACCUGUUGCAGGGCCCCUGGCCACGCUGAAGGAUGCCUACCUGGAGGUGACACUGCGGCCCCUGGACGAGCUGUGGCAGGAACGGGCGCAGGAGGCCGUGCAGCUGUUGCGGGCCGUGCGGCCCAGGCCCAUCGGGGCAGCCCUGGAGCUGGCCGCCCGCCAGAUGCUGUCCUGGGCCGAAGCCACUUUGUCACGGGCCCUGAGGAGGCUCUGCAAGCCGUUGCUGGCUCUGUACAGCUUCUCAGCCAGAAACUGCUCUGUGAUGGUGACACUGCCGCUGCUGCCUGCGGGGGACGAGCCCCUGACCAUGGCCCGGGUGACCGGCCACCUGGUGGAGGAGAAGCUGCUGCGGCCCCUCCGCGAGCUGUACGGGACCCGCGUGCUGGCCGAGUACUACCGGCUGCAGCGUCUCCUGCUGGAGAGCCCCCAUGACUACCAUGCUGUGGUGGCCGGGGACAGGCAUGUGGUAACCUUCGAUGGCCAGGUGUGGAGUCUUGGUGGCCACUGUGGCAGUCUGCUGCUGGCCAAGGACUUCGCCCACAACACGUUCUCGCUGACGCUGAACCGGGCCCCUUCAGGACUCACAUCCCUGUCCGUGGAGCUGAACCACACGACCCUGGUCCUCUACCCAAACCUAAAGACCUACAAGCUGUACGACUCCUCCCUGCCUACGGAGAUCUGUCCGCACCUGGAUCUGCCACCUGCUAAGACAAGGGGGGACAUUCCCAAGAUCGAACUGACCAGUGAGGACGGCAUCUCAGUCACCUAUGAUGUGCGAACUGGCCUCUGCAGCCUGACUCUGGGCCUCUGGCUCCAUGGUGUGUCUGCUGGCCUUCUAGGUACCAAUGACAAUGAGGCAGCCAAUGAGUGGAUGCUGCCAGAUGGCAAAGUGGCCCAGAGCCUGGAGGAGCUCACCCUCGCCUGGCAGGUAGGUGGUGACUGCAGGGCCAUGGAGAAACCUCAGGAGUGCCCAGCCCAGAGCCUCACCUGCUGGGCCUUCUUCCAGGACCCUCAUUCCUGCCUGGGGAACUGCUUCAGAGUGGUGGACCCCACACCCUUCCUUGGCCUGUGCAACCAGGACACCUGUGGCACCCAGGAGCUCCACUCUGCCUGUAACCUGGCAGCCACUUACAUCCACUUGUGUGCCCGGGGCUUCGUGCCCCUGGACCCUCCUCCACAGUGUGUUUGA